UACGUAGGGGGCAAGCGUUGUCCGGAAUCAUUGGGCGUAAAGAGCGUGUAGGCGGCCCGGUAAGUCCGCUGUGAAAGUCCAGGGCUCAACCCUGGGAUGCCGGUGGAUACUGUCGGGCUCGAGUCCGGAAGAGGAGUGUGGAAUUCCUGGUGUAGCGGUGAAAUGCGCAGAUAUCGGGAAGAACACCCGUGGCGAAGGCGGCUCUCUGGGACGGUACUGACGCUGAGACGCGAAAGCGUGGGGAGCAAACAGG
rnacentral:rRNA from 1 species